ACCUUCGAUUUAGGUUCGAAAGAGUCUCGUUUAAGGUAUUUGGUUUUUGGGACCGGAUGGGGUCGCGGGCUUGCUCGCAUCCCAUCACGGGUCGGCCCAGCGUUGCACUGCUGCUGGGAUCGGCCCACCUCCA
rnacentral:snRNA from 1 species